rnacentral:rRNA from 1 species
UACGGGGGGGCAAGCGUUGUUCGGAAUUACUGGGCGUAAAGGGCUCGUAGGCGGCCAACUAAGUCAGACGUGAAAUCCCUCGGCUUAACCGGGGAACUGCAUCUGAUACUGGAUGGCUUGAGUUCGGGAGAGGGAUGCGGAAUUCCAGGUGUAGCGGUGAAAUGCGUAGAUAUCUGGAGGAACACCGGUGGCGAAGGCAGGUCUCUGGGCCACUACUGACGCUGAGAAGGCGAAAAGCGUGGGGAGCGAACGAGGA